rnacentral:lncRNA from 1 species
UCUCUCACUAUAUCCUUUAUCUUCUAUAUCGCUUCUUCUUCUCUCUCACUCUAUCCUUUCAAUCUGCUAUUAAUCUGCUCUACCAUCGAACCAAAUUCAACCCGACAAAUUUGCUGUCAAAUUUUUUGUGUCCUCUAUUUUAACAUCAAAUUCAUCUCGCCAAUUUAAAAGGUUAGUCAGACUUCUCCUUCAUAUAUAUGGGUUUAUCGAUUACAUCGAAUAUAUGGGGUUUACUUUGAUUGCAUUUCCUACAAAUUUAUGUGGGUUCCAAUAAAUAGUUGAUAUCACCGACUAAUUUCAUUUUAAGAUGUCCUAUAUGCAUGGUAGUCUAGCCAAUUUCAAAUUUUUAAAUCCAUGGUAUUGCUUACCCCUCGCAGAAUGCUACCAAAGAAGACAUGAUUUGGUUUGAGAAAGAAAAGAAAUCACACAGGGAAUCUCUGAAAUCAUUCAUUGUUUGCAAAUCUAAGCCAAUUUUAGAGGUUAGUCAGACUAUUCUCCCAUUAUAUCAUUGGGUUUACUUUGAUUACAUCCUUUUUGUGCUAGCUUAAUCACACCCUUCGAUUUCUCUUCUUUGUGUGUUUGUUUUCAUUUACUUUAUAUAUGCUUACUUUCAAUUAAGUUAUUUAUCUAAACAUUAUAAUUACUUACAUUUUCUAAUACUUCUAUUACUAACAAGUUACCUAGAUAUAUCGCCACAUUUUAAAUCAACAGUACACAUGGAUUUUCAACGUCGACAAACAUAUAGACAAGCGAGACUUUUAAGAAAAUAUAUCAUUAAACAACGUAGAAAUAGGCGACAUUCUAUAUCAUUAUCCCGUCAACGGGUACAUAGAGAUAUGACUGUGCAGACUAAACGAAGAACAAAACAAAAAGAAAAAGCCAGUCGAACAACUACUUUAGAAGAAAAUAUUAAUAACAUCAACCAUGACUUACAAGCAACCAAUGCCCUAAAUGGCCGAACUACAUCUACCGAGGAAGUCGUCGUUAAUAUUAGAAGUAAGUAUACUACUAUUCAUAUACUAAUAACAUUUAAUUGAUAUUGACCUAAAAUUUAAACUAACAACGUUUUCCGCACUCUCAGGAAAAAUGUUUGAGAUUUUGGAUUUUGGGCAUCCAUCUGAAGUAUGUAAAUUUUGUAAUGCUAUAUUAUGGAAGGAAGAAAGAAAUUCAAUUUGUUGUAUGGGAGGAAAAGUUGAAUUACCUUUACUAAGAGAACCUCCAGAAUACUUGAACAACCUUUUGGAUUACAAUGGUGGCCCCAUAUGCAGAAAAUUUAGGGAAAAAAUAAGAAUUUACAAUUCAAUAUUUGCUUUCACAUCUAUGGGUGGAAAAAUUGAUAACAAAAUAAAUGAUGGCACAGGACCAUAUGUAUUUAAAAUAAAUGGACAAAACCAUCAUAAGAUUGGAUCAUUAAUGCCAAAAGAAGGACAACAACCAAAGUUCUUACAAUUAUAUAUUCAUGAUACUGAUACCGAAAAUGAAGUUACAAACAGAACAAAUGUCGUUACUCGGGAUAAUAACUCUAAUUUAUUAGAUAAAGAAAUUGUUAGUACAUUGGUUAAUAUGCUUGACGAAAACAACGAGUAUGUAAAGGCAUUUAGAAUGGCAAAAGAUCGUUUCCGAGAAGAAGACAUAGUGCAAGUUCGUUUGAGACUUAUAGGAACUCGAAAUUAUGAUAGUAGACAAUAUAAUUUGCCCACGUCGUCUGAAGUAGCUGCACUUAUUGUUGGGAAUAGUGAUUCAAAUGACGGCCGUGAUAUAAUUAUUGAGGAAAAAAAAGGUGGCUUACGACGAAUUUCAGAGUUAUAUCCUGGAUUUAUGGCUUUACAAUACCAUUUGUUGUUUCCAUAUGGUGAGGAUGGAUUCUCAAUUGGAAUUUUAUACAGAAAUCUCCAAACCAUAUAGGCGAGAAAACGUAGUACAGUUAGUAUGAGAGAGUUCUAUGCGUUUCGAAUACAACAACGUCUUCAUGAAGGACAAGGUCUUCUAAGAGGUGGUCGUCUCUUCCAACAAUUUUUGGUUGAUGCAUAUGCGUGUAUUGAAGAAAAUAGAUUACAAUGGUAUAGAAACAAUCAAUCAACAGUUAGAGCAGAGUUGUAUAAAGGACUACAUGACGCAGUUGUGGCUGGAGAUUCAACACCUGGAUCCAUAGGGAAAAGAAUGGUCCUACCAUCUUCAUUCACAGGAGGCCCAAGAUAUAUGGUUCAAAAUUACCAAGAUGCAAUUGCUAUAUGUAGAUGGGCAGGCCCACCAGACCUUUUUGUAACGUUUACUUGCAAUACUCAAUGGAAAGAGAUUGCAUAUAUUCUAGAGUUCAUUCCAGGUCAAAAAGCUGAAGAUAGACCCGAUAUAGUGGCACGCGUAUUCAAUAUAAAAGUCGAUCAACUUAUUAAAGAUUUGACAGAUGGGGAACAUUUUGGACGUGCUAUGGCAGGUAUAAAUCUCAAAAAAAAAAAAUUUAAAAAAAUAAAUAAAUAUUUUUCAUUGAUCUAACAAUGGUUCUUAUUCUUUAUAUGUAGUCAUAUACACAAUCGAAUUUCAGAAACGAGGUCUUCCUCACGCACAUAUCUUGCUUUGGUUACAUCCCGACGACAAACCAAAAGAUCCAUCUGACAUUGAUAAAUUAAUCUCAGCAGAACUUCCUGAUAAGGAUAUUGACCCACUAGCAUUUGAAUCCGUCUUGCAGUAUAUGAUACAUGGACCAUGUGGAGAUCUUAAUCGAAAUUCACCUUGCAUGAUAAAUAAAUGUUGUUCUAAACAUUUUCCCAAACAAAUACAAAAUAAAACACAGCUUGACAAACAUGGUUUUGCUAUCUAUAGAAGAAGAGCAAACUUACAUAAAGCAAUGAAGAAUGGAAUAGAAGUUGACAAUACAUUUGUUGUCCCCCAUAAUACAGAUUUAGUUGUAAAAUACCAAGCUCAUAUCAAUGUCGAAAUUUGUGCACGAGGAAAAAUUAUAAAAUAUUUAUUUAAAUAUAUUAACAAAGGCCAAGACAGAUCAACCAUGGUUAUUGAAGAAAACUUAUCAAAUGAUUCAACAAAUGGCCAAAAUGUUACCGUUCAAGUAGAUGAGAUAAAAACAUAUUUAGAUUGUCGAUAUCUUUCUGCUUCAGAAGCAUGUUGGAGAAUAUUAAAAUUUGACAUACAUUAUCGUGACCCAUCAGUUCAAAGAUUAGUCUAUCAUGUAGAAGAUGAACAAACAAUUAUAUUUCAUGAUGACGAUGAUUUAGUCGAUGUUGUCAAUAGAAACAACGUUAACAAAACUAUGUUCACAGAAUGGUUUGAAAUAAAUAAGCGCCAUGAAGAUGCUAGGCGACUCACUUACGUAGAGUUCCCAACUGAAUGGGUUUGGAAUAAAGAUGAAAAAAUUUGGACAAGGAGGAAGUCCAAAAGGAGAAUUGGUAGACUUUACAAUGCUCAUCCGAACUCUGGACCGAAAUUUUAUCUCCGCAUAUUGUUGAAUGUAACACCAGGGGCAAAAAGCUAUGAUGAUCUUAAAACUGUUAACAAUAUCAAGUACGAUGAUUUCAAAUCUGCAUGUGCCGCCCAAGGACUAUUAAGGGAUGACAAUGAAUGGCAUGAAGUCCUAAAGGAAAUGUCAACUUGGUCAUCUGGUAACAUGAUGCGUGAAUCCUUCGUUUAUAUAUUAUUAUUUUGUCAAUUAACCAAUCCUCAAGAUCUAUGGAACAAGAAUUGGGAAUUAUUAUCCGACGACAUUUUGAUACGUCAAAGGCAAAUAUAUAGCAACAAUACUCUAGAAUUGAGUGAUGGUCAAAUACAAAAUUUAACUUUGAUAGAAAUAGAAAAAAUUAUGAACCAAAAUAAUAGAAGUUUAAAAAAAUUUCAAUCUUUUCCAUUUCCUGAGUUGGAUUUUGAAAACCAACUUGGAAAUAAGUAUAUAAGAGAAGAAAUAACUUACGAUCGCAGUAAACUUCAUUUAGAGUUUCAAACAUUACAUGCUAGACUAAACAUCGAACAAAAACAAGUCUAUGAGGUUGUAAUGAAUUCUGUCUUAUCAAAUAUUGGUGGCCUAUUCUUUGUUUAUGGCAGUGGAGGGACAGGGAAAACAUACCUUUGGAGUACUUUAACGUCUAAGCUUAAAUCCGAAGGAAAAAUUGUCUUGGCUGUUGCUUCUUCAGGAAUAGCGUCUUUACUUCUACCAAAUGGACGAACAGCUCAUUCAAGAUUUAAGGUUCCAGUAACUCAAAAUGAUUAUUCAUGUUGUGAUAUUAAAGUAAACAGUGAAUUGGCAGAUCUAAUUCGUAAAACUGAUUUGGUAAUUUGGGAUGAGACACCAAUGAAUCAUAGGAAUGCUUUCGAAGCCGUUGAUAGAACAUUUCGAGACUUAAUGCGAUCUUCAACACAAAUUCCAGAAGAAAAAAAAUUUGGUGGGAAAACAGUUGUUUUGGGAGGUGAUUUUAGACAAACAUUGCCAGUAGUCCCAAAAGGAAGUAGAGAAACAACUGUCGAUGCUUCAAUAAGUAGGUCUUACCUAUGGAGUCAUUGUCGUACUUUCAAGCUUGGUAUAAAUAUGCGUUUACAAAGUGAAAAUUUAACUAUCCUUGAAACUAAAAAGGUUGACAAACUUCGAAAAUGGAUUUUAGAUCUUGGAAAUGGAAACUUACCAACAAUAUCUAUGUGUGGAGAACAAGAACCAACGUGGAUAAAAAUUCCAGAUGAUUAUCUCCUUCAACCUAAAAAUGAUCCAAUGAAAUCAAUUGUGGAAUGGGUAUAUCCUGAUUUGGAAAAUAAAUAUGCUGAUCUGAACUAUUUAAGAGAAAGAUGCAUAUUAAUUCCCAGAAAUGAUUGCGUAGAGAAAUUAAAUUCUUAUAUCAUAUCCACUAUACCAGGCAAAUCACAUAUUUACUUGAGUGCAGAUAUGUUGAGUCCAAUGUCAGGAGGUCCAGAUAUUCAAGAUGUAUCACCCCCAAUAGAAUUUUUAAAUUCUAUGAUAAUAUCUGGAUUACCUAAUCAUAAGAUUGAAUUGAAAUUAGGUGUUCCAAUUAUGCUUCUUAGAAACAUUAAUCAAAGAUUCGAACUAUGUAAUGGUACAAGGCUUAUUGUUACUAAAUUAGGGGCUAAAUUUAUUCAAGCAAAGGUGAUAACAGGGAAUAAUAUCGGUCGAACAUUCAAUAUUAAUAGAAUAAUACUUACAUCAGAUGAUCCGAAAUCAUCGUUUACUAUAACACGCGUUCAACUUCCUAUAAGAAUUUGUUUCGCAAUGACUAUAAAUAAAAGUCAAGGACAAACAUUAAAACAUGUUGGCAUAUACUUACCAAGACCAGUAUUUAGUCAUGGGCAACUUUAUGUUGCGGUUUCACGAACGUCAUCCCACAAUGGAUUGAAAAUCUUAAUUGACCAUAAAGAAAAUGAACAACCAGGAUAUACACAGAAUAUUGUUUACAAGGAGGUUUUCAACAACUUACCAUGAGGUAUUAUUGUUCAUGUCAUUAUUAUUAUUUUAUUUUUUUAAAUUAAACCUAUAAUAACUUUUUCUCGAAAUUUAUUUUUGGCUUUUAUCCAGAAGAUGGAAUUCGUCAAUAGUGGUGGUGAGAUUGUAGGGUAUGAUGCAGGAAAACACUACCAAUAUUUAUACCAACAUUGAAGUUCAUGGGAACAACCUUCUUGAUUAGGUAAAAUCAUCAACAUCAUUCUUAAAUCUUACUAAUACCUUUAAAUUUUUAAUAUCGUUGGUAUGAUAUAUGCAGUUGUUAAUUAUCAUCAUUAACUCAACAACCAUG